rnacentral:rRNA from 1 species
AUGCUUAAAAUUGAUCUUGCGAAAGCUUUUGAUCGUUUAGAAUGGAGCUUCAUAGUUUCAGCUCUUGCUCGUAAAGGUCUGCAUGGUCAUUUCAUAAAUUUGAUCUAUGAAUGCAUUUCCACACCCACUUUCUCUGUGGUUAUUAAUGGUAAACAUUCUCAUAAAUUUAAAAGUGCUAGGGGUAUUCGCCAAGGUUGUCCUAUGUCCCCUUAUUUGUUUGUUUUGGCCAUUAAUGAAUUGUCUCUUGCUCUUAAUGAUGCUCUGGCUGGUAAUCAUUUGCAGGGUAUUUCUCUUGGACCAGGUUGCCCUCCUAUUCAUUCUCUCUUGUUUGCAGAUGAUUUAUUAGUUUGUGGGCAAGCUUCGGUUCAAGAGGCAAAUGCUAUGGCCAAUUAUCCAUCAUUUCUGUUCUAUUUCUGGGCAAACUCCUAA